UGUAGCUUGCUAUGAUAAAAAUUAGUGGCAGACGGGUGAGUAAUGCAUAGGAAUCUACCUAGUAGUAUGGGAUAGCCACUAGAAAUGGUGGGUAAUACUGUAUAAUCCCUGCGGGGGAAAGAUUUAUCGCUAUUAGAUGAGCCUAUGUUAGAUUAGCUAGUUGGUAGGGUAAAGGCCUACCAAGGCAGUGAUCUAUAGCUGGUCUGAGAGGAUGAUCAGCCACACUGGAACUGAGAUACGGUCCAGACUCCUACGGGAGGCAGCAGUGGGGAAUAUUGGACAAUGGGCGCAAGCCUGAUCCAGCUAUGCCGCGUGAGUGAGGAAGGCCUUAGGGUUGUAAAACUCUUUCAGUGGGGAAGAUAAUGACGGUACCCACAGAAGAAGUCCCGGCAAACUCCGUGCCAGCAGCCGCGGUAAUACGGAGGGGGCAAGCGUUGUUCGGAAUUAUUGGGCGUAAAGGGCAUGUAGGCGGUUCGGUAAGUUAAAGGUGAAAUGCCAGGGCUUAACCCUGGAGCUGCUUUUAAUACUGCCAGACUCGAGUCCGGGAGAGGAUAGCGGAAAUUCCUAG
rnacentral:rRNA from 1 species